GGUCUAUCAGCAUCACACUCGCCCUGGGAUCAGCAUCCCCAGAUUACUUAGGCUAAGCAGAAUCUCACUCACCUCAUUCACCCUUCCUGAAGGCUUGCUAUGGGUCAGGCUUUGAACUGACAAUAAGCUAGUACCAACCUACCCUCAAAUCAUGACUUCUCUUCCUUGGCAGCUUCUCCAAAGUGCACCUUGUUUCGAGAACAAGCCACACCGAAAGAUGAUGGCGACAAAUAUAUUUUGUGUGAGGCAAGUGGGUUCUACCCAAAAGACAUUAACAUCACAUGGUAUAUAUAUACCCAGGAGAAUCCCCAGGGCCAGGAGAUUUCUGAAGGCAUCACCAAUGGUCCAGCCAUCAAGAAUGAGGACGGCACAUUUAACAUCACCAGCCGUUUGAGGCUGAACCAAACUCUGGAACACAAUGUGACCACCUACCAAUGUGUGAUAAGUCACAUAUCCUUGCCCACCUCCAGGAGGUCGAACUUCACCCUGUCUGGGAGAGGAUCUGAGAUGGGAAAUGCCUGGGGGACUACUGCUACUUGGAUUGCUGUUGGCUUUAUUGGAGCAGGCAUUUUAAUUGUACUGAUUGUAUGGAAAAGAAAGCUGCUUCUCAGAAGAUUCAAACCACUACCACAAGAAGAGACUGAAGAAUUGUAACUCGGUGCUUUCACUAAGGUGCAUUCAUGAUGUAUUCAGAUGGAGGAGCACUGGAAGACUGGCAGUUCUUACACAGUGACAGAUAGCAGAAACCACAAGCUUUCUCAGAGAACGUGUAAGUAACUGACAUUACCUUUCCUGAUGACUGCCACAGCUUGCUCAAGAGCAGACCAUUCAAGUUGCCCUCCUGGAUAGCCUCCAGCCAAUCAUCUCUUUUCAAGAAAAGGAAAAAGCAACGCUUCCCAAAGAAGAUAGACAAUUGGCCAGCAGGGAUAUAAAAAGGUGCUCAACAUCAUUAAUCAUCAGGGAGAUGCAAAUCAAAACAAUGAGACAUCACCUCACGCCUCUUGGAAUGCCUACUAUCAAAAAGACAAGAAAUAAAACGUAGUGGCAAGGAUGUGGUGAAAAGGGAAGACUUGGGUACUGUCGGUGGGAAUAUAAAUGGGCGCAGCCAUUACAGAAACAGUAUGGAAGUUCCAAAAAAAUUAAAAAUGGAACUACAGUAUGCAGCAAUUUUACUUCUGGGUAUUUAUCUAGAGGAAAGGAAUAUUCGAACUUGAAAAGUUAUCUGUACCUCCAUCUUCAUUGCACCAUUACUUGCAAUAGCAAAGACAUGGAAUCAACUUAAAUGUCAUCGAUGGAUGAGUGGAUAAAGAAAAUGUGAUACACUCAUACACACACAGUCAUGCACCACUUAACAAAGGGGAUACAUUCCGAGAAAUAUAUUGUUAGGCAAUUUCGUUGUUGUGUUAACAUCAUUGAUUAUACUUACACAAACCUAGAUGGUAUACUAGUAGCCUAUUGCUCCUGUACAGUCAGGCUACACUAAAAUCAUAAAACAAUAUGAGACCAAAUCAAGCAGAAGAGAAAAUGAUAUCAAGAAAUACAGUCAACAGGCUAGGCUGCUGCUAGUGUAACUCCACAUGCUGUUUUUCAGCUAACUUAUUUUUUAAACAAAUAUAUUUCUUUAUUGAUUUCAGAGAGGAAAGGAGAAGGAGAGAGAGAUAGAAACAUCAAUGA